rnacentral:rRNA from 1 species
AGCGAACGCUGGCGGCGUGCCUAACGCAUGCAAGUCGAACGUGAAAAGGGAAACCUGAGUAAAGUGGCGUACGGGUGAGUAACGCGUAGGUAAUCUACCCCAGAAUCUGGAAUAACCUGCCGAAAGGCGGGCUAAUACUGGAUAGAGCGAGGGAACUCGUAAGAGAGUUUUUCGGGAAAGGGAGCCCGCAAGGGCCUUCGUUCUGGGAUGAGCCUGCGUCUCAUUAGCUAGUUGGUAAGGUAACGGCUUACCAAGGCGAUGAUGAGUAGCUGGUCUGAGAGGAUGAUCAGCCACACUGGAACUGAAACACGGUCCAGACUCCUACGGGAGGCAGCAGUGGGGAAUCUUGCGCAAUGGACGAAAGUCUGACGCAGCCACGCCGCGUGAGUGAAGAAGGCCUUCGGGUUGUAAAGCUCUGUCGGAUGGGACGAACAUCUUCAUAGUGAAUAGCUAUGAGGACUGACGGUACCAUCAAAGGAAGCACCGGCUAACUCCGUG